rnacentral:precursor_RNA from 1 species
UGAGAUGCUGAGUAUCACCAUUUGAAGACUAACAUGUGUACUUGAGUUGUCUCUCAUGUCUAGACCAUUUGUGAGAAGGGAGUUUUUGUUUGCACCAAUACCCACCAAUCUCUAUAUUUGUAAGAAGUAUUAUGCUCAAUUAAGGAAAAUAGUAGUUCAACAUACCACACUACCCUUUUAAGUAGUAUCAUCCUAUAUGUUAUCUGCUACCUUAGCUAAAUUUUGCGUUCUCAUGGUGCUGCAGUAGGGUUAGUUUCUUGUGUACCUCUAGAUAUACAUUCUCUUGCUGCGUAGGGUUCCCAAGCUGUCAAAACUAGUGAUCUGUUCCCCUUGAUAUUCUGAUCCUUCAGAAGUUAGGUAUAGAAGUAAGUCGAUUAAGUUCAUUCAUGACUUUUCCAGAUGUUGCAUACAUAACUUUUUUUCAUUUGUAUUCGAACUAGUCCAAGCCGAUUCUCAAAAUCAUAUAAAAUCAUUUACACCUUGGUCAUGGUAGCUAAGAAUAUUGUAUCUAAAAUUGGGGAGUGGGGAGAUGUUUGGUUAUAUUCCCUUCUCAUCGAUGGUCUAGAUGUGCGAGGUGACUCUCAUGGAGGUAAAGAACAAUGGUGAUUUUGUGAAGAACCCAACGUAAUGGUAACUCCUAAAAAGGUUAGAAGUUUUUUCAGCUUGUUGUAUUGCUAAAAUGGGGUUGAUGUACUCAACGACCCAUUUUUU